GACGAACGCUGGCGGCGUGCUUAACACAUGCAAGUCGAACGGAAAGGCCCUGCUUUUGUGGGGUGCUCGAGUGGCGAACGGGUGAGUAACACGUGAGUAACCUGCCCUUGACUUUGGGAUAACUUCAGGAAACUGGGGCUAAUACCGGAUAGGAGCUCCUGCUGCAUGGUGGGGGUUGGAAAGUUUCGGCGGUUGGGGAUGGACUCGCGGCUUAUCAGCUUGUUGGUGGGGUAGUGGCUUACCAAGGCUUUGACGGGUAGCCGGCCUGAGAGGGUGACCGGCCACAUUGGGACUGAGAUACGGACCAGAAUCCUACGGGAGGCAGCAGUGGGGAAUAUUGCACAAUGGGCGGAAGCCUGAUGCAGCAACGCCGCGUGCGGGAUGACGGCCUUCGGGUUGUAAACCGCUUUCGCCUGUGACGAAGAGUGAGUGACGGUAAUGGGUAAAGAAGCACCGGCUAACUACGUG
rnacentral:rRNA from 1 species